AAUUCUCAACCUGGAUUACUUUUGUAAAAGUCAGGCUUUGGAUUAUGGAAGCUGCUGAUUUGCAAAGAAUCAGCUCUUUUAAAAUUUAUUAGCAAAGAUUAUUUUUUGAUCAUCUAUGGUAUGAUAAAUAUCUAUAUCAUUGAAUGACAGACUUAUCAAUAAUUUUGCUUCAAACAAGUCUAUAUUGGACAAUAUAAUAG
rnacentral:misc_RNA from 1 species